rnacentral:tRNA from 1 species
GGUAAAGUGGCUGAGUAAGCGGCGGGUUGUAGCCCCGAAGACGGAGGUUUAAGUCCUCCCUUUAUCA